CUCUCUACAAUUGCUCUCCUUCCACUACCCAACCCUGGAGAGCUGUUGUAGUUAGUCUGGAGCUGGACUUGACCCAGUUUGUCCACAAACUCAAGAUCUUCUUACCUUUGCCUCCUGUGAGGGCCACCACCUGGGAAAUGUGCACAUUUUUACGGAGCCAACAUGUAUCACACAUAGGAAACUGGAUCUUCACGGCGACUGAGGGUGGUAGAACUAAGGAAGGAAACCACGUCCCCUCAUCUUGCACCCUUUUCUCCAGGCCUCAGUUCAUCUGGGUUCACCAGCAUACCACAGUCCAACUAUGCACUGUGAUUCAGCAUGUCAUGACUCAGGCUGCGACUUUCAAAUAAACAGGAAUUUGGUUAAUAAUUACAGCAUCUGUGUGUUAAAAUGGGUGUCAGAAGUUUAGUAUAUAACACUUAUUGCAUGCAUGAAUACAGGGCUUGGUGAAUUCUUUAGACAAGGCAAAGAGAAGCAGUUAUAUGCUGCCUGACUCACAUCCCCCUAAAAUCUAAGAGCUGUAAACAACAGUCAUUUCUCAUCGGAACAGCCUUGCUUUGCUUACAGCAGUCUCG
rnacentral:lncRNA from 1 species